GUGGGGAAUUUUGGACAAUGGGCGAAAGCCUGAUCCAGCCAUGCCGCGUGCAGGAUGAAGGCCUUCGGGUUGUAAACUGCUUUUGUACGGAACGAAAAGACUCCUUCUAAUAAAGGGGGUCCAUGACGGUACCGUAAGAAUAAGCACCGGCUAACUACGUGCCAGCAGCCGCGGUAAUACGUAGGGUGCAAGCGUUAAUCGGAAUUACUGGGCGUAAAGCGUGCGCAGGCGGUUAUAUAAGACAGAUGUGAAAUCCCCGGGCUCAACCUGGGAAAUGCAUUUGUGACUGUAUAGCUAGAGUACGGUAGAGGGGGAUGGAAUUCCGCGUGUAGCAGUGAAAUGCGUAGAUAUGCGGAGGAACACCGAUGGCGAAGGCAAUCCCCUGGACCUGUACUGACGCUCAUGCACGAAAGCGUGGGGAGCAAACAGGAUUAGAAACCCCAGUAGUCC
rnacentral:rRNA from 1 species